rnacentral:rRNA from 1 species
AUCUAAGUACAUGCCGUAUUAAGGCGAAACCGGGAAUGGCUCAUUAAAUCAAUUAUAGUUCCUUCGAUCUUACCUGUACUACUUGGAUAACUGAGGCAGUUCUAGAGCUGAUAUACGCAGCAGAGCUCCGAUCUUCUGGGCACGAGCGCUUCAUUGUUUCACAGGAAGACAGAUAUAUUACAUUUUUAUAAUUUUCUGACAGGCAUGAUAUGAAUCAUUACAGAUUUUUGUACUUAUUCAGGACCUUGUAUGCUUUCACACGUUAAUAAG